UUAUAGGAUCUUUAGCUGAUUUUAUAAUGUUUAUUAUUUUACUGUCAUCUGCAUACAACAUUAUAUAGUUUUGGAUAUUAUCAGGUAAGUCAUUGAUAAAGAUUAAGAAUAAAAGUGGCUCUAAAACUGAGCCCUGAGGUACACCACUGAUAACUGGUAACCAGUUUGAUACAUAAUCUCCUAGAAUAACUUGCUGUCUUCUGUUAUGUAAAAAAUCUUCUAUCCAUUUUAAAAUAUCUCCAACAAUACCGUAAGAUUCUAUCUUUUUUAUUAAUCUGGCAUGUGGCACUUUAUCAAACGCCUUAGCAAAAUCUAAAUACAACAAAUCUACUGAAUAAUUCUUUUCUAAGAUAUCUGUAAUUAUAUCUAAUGUUUCCAACAAAUUAGUGACACAAUUUUUAUUUUUUCUAAACCUGUGUUGAUUUUCAUUUAAUACACCAUUUUCAAUUAGAUGAUCCAUAACUACAUCAUGGAUAAUUGAAUCAAUUAUCUUAAAUGGAAUUGAUGAUAAAGAUAUUGGUCUGUAAUUAAGUACAUCAUUUCUAUCUCCUUUUUUAAACAAAAGAGAAAUAUUUGCAUAUUUCCAUAAAUGAGGUAAUUUUUUUUCUGAUAAUGACUUAUGGUAUAAUAAUGAUAGUGGUAUGCUUAUAGUUUUACAACACUUUUUUAAUACAUAAAGACUAAUUCCAUCAACACCAAUAGCUUUAUUAACAUCAAGUUUUUGAAGUUUUUUUUCUAUUGUUUUACGACUAGUUAUAUCAUUUAUAUUAAUAAGUAGGGUGCUAUUCGUUUUAGGUACUAUAUAUGAAAUAUUUUUUGUAUCUUUAUCUACAAAUACGGAAUUAAAACUAUUAUUCAACACGUUUGCUAUAUCAUCUUCAUUGAUUACAAUGUUUCCAUCCAUAUCAUAAAUAGAGGUGCCCGAAGAAGACCUAACGGUCUUGUCACAGAGCACCGCGGAAGUGUAUUUAACCAGGAAGCUGACACCUUCUUCCUUACCGUGACAUGAAAAUAUGUUAAGAGCUCGUUUCGAAUCUGGAUCUCCUGCUUAUAAAGCAAGUACUCUAACCAUUGUGCCACGGCCGCACAAUAUCACGUUGUGACGGGCGUAUUUUGAUCUAUAUCUGUAAAAAUAUAAAUGAAAAUUCUGAACAGUUUAUUUUUUAUAAUACAGUUACGCUUUCAUAUAUUUCAA